rnacentral:pre_miRNA from 1 species
GGAAGAUAUAAGAAGCUCCCUUCACUCCAAUGCCGAGAGCUGAGGAGUGGCUAGAGCUGCCAUUUCAUGCAUUUUGGCUAUCCUUAAUAUUUUCAUGGCAAAAAUUCCGAAGAAAUAAGUGAAGAGAGAGAGAAAGGAGAGAAGUUGAUCAUAAAUGUUAAGGGUUUGGCCAGGUGCAUGGCGUGGGAGCAACUCCUUCCGCUUCUUUAGCUCACCUGUUGGAUUGAAGGGAGCUCCUCUUUCUUAUCAC